rnacentral:lncRNA from 13 species
AGGUCAGAGAGUCACUGCUGCAGACCAAAUGGAGGAGGACGAGAGGAGGAGGAAGAGGUCAGAGAGUCACUGCUGCAGACCAAAUGGAGGAGGACGAGAGGAGGAGGAAGAGGUCAGAGUCACUGCUGCAGACCAAAUGGAGGAGAGGAUGAGAGGAGGAGGAAGAGGUCAGAGAGUCACUGCUGCAGACCAAAUGGAGGAGAGGAUGAGAGGAGGAGGAAGAGGUCAGAGAGUCACUGCUGCAGACCAAAUGGAGGAGGACGAGAGGAGGAGGCUGCUGUGACAGACACAGUAAUGGUGUUCCUAAUUAACAUUGGGAGAGGACACUGCUACUGGGAGAGAAAGGGAGAGAAAGAAAGAGGGAUGGAGGAAUGGAGUGAGACAGAAAAGGAGAGGGAGGAGAGAGCGCAAUAGCGCAUGCAUCAUCACAACGCGGCGCCCACCUCUCCCGAUAACUGGCAAAAAAUAUAUAUAUUAAACACUGUUCCGUGUAGUCAAGUUACCCUGGAAGACUCAACCCCCCUGCCGCCCCAAAAAGAGAGCCAGUAUAAUUUCUAAGCCAUCUCUCUUUUUUUCCCUCUUUCAAUCACCCUCUACACCCUCCCUCCUUUCCUCCCUCCCUUCCUUAUCCAAAGUGGCUGGGCGGUGUUAUUUACGAGGCAGGCAGAAAAGCAGCGGGUACAUUUGCAUGGCUAAUAGGGUAAGUCAUUUGUGAGAGAGCUAACCUGGACACCGGGCUGCAGUAACUCAGCCUAUAGCUCUGGUCUGGAGAGAGGGAUAAAGAGAUGAAGGGAAGGUGGGAGGGGAUGGAGAGAGAGAAGGAGAGAGAGAGGGUUAUAGAAGGAAAGAUUAGCGGGAUGGAGGGGGGAAAGAGAUGGAGGCAAGAGAGGGACAGAGGGAGAUAAGAAGGUACAAAGAGAUGAAAAUGAGAGGAAAUAGGAAAAGAGAGAGAAAGAGAGGGGUAGAAUGAGAGGGGGAUACAGAGCAGGAUAGAGAGAAGCGGGGCCUAAAUUGGGAGCCCUUCCGUUGUACAGGUGGGAGAGAGGGAUCUACGGGAUAGAGAGAGGGAAGAAUAGAGGGAGAGGUAGGGAGGGGGAAGUGACCAGCA